rnacentral:tRNA from 1 species
ACGAAAGAUUGACGAUUGGUAAGAAUCCACAACAAGUUGUUCUUCAUAGAUGUAUCUGAGGGUCUGUAGCUCAGUUGGUUAGAGCACACGCUUGAUAAGCGUGGGGUCACAAGUUCAAGUCUUGUCAGACCCACCAUGACUUUGACUGGUUAAAGUUAUAGAUAAAAGAUACAUGACUGAUGAUGUAAGCUGGGGACUUAGCUUAGUUGGUAGAGCGCCUGCUUUGCACGCAGGAGGUCAGGAGUUCGACUCUCCUAGUCUCCACCAGAACUUAAGAUAAGUUCGGAUUACAGAAAUUAGUAAAUAGAGAUUUCGGUCUUGGUUUAUUAACUUCUGUGAUUUAAGUAUCACGGUAUUAAGCAUGACCUGACGAAGGCAUGUUUAUUCAUUAACAGAUUGGCAAAAUUGAGUCUGAAAUAAAUUGUUCACUCAAGAGUUUAGAUUAAGCAAUUAAUCUGAAUGAAUUGAGAACUAGCAAAUUAACUGAAUCAAGCGUUUUGGUAUAUGAAUUUAGAUUGAAGCUGUACAGUGUUUAAAUACACAGUGCUCUAAACUGAAAUGUUGAAGUUACUAACUUGUAGGUAACGUCGACUGUUUGGGGUUGUAU